rnacentral:rRNA from 1 species
GAUGAACGCUAGCGGCAGGCCUAACACAUGCAAGUCGAGGGGCAGCACGUCUUCGGAUGGUGGCGACCGGCGCACGGGUGCGUAACGCGUAUGCAACCUACCUCUUACAGUGGGAUAGCCCAGAGAAAUUUGGAUUAAUACCGCAUAGUAUACAGAUUCAGCAUUGGGACUGUAUUAAACAUUUAUGGGUAAGAGAUGGGCAUGCGUUCUAUUAGUUAGUUGGAGUGGUAACGGCACCCCAAGACAGCGAUAGAUAGGGGCCCGUGAGAGGGGAGUCCCCCACCACUGGUACUGAGACACGGACCAGACUCCUACGGGAGGCAGCAGUGAGGAAUAUUGGACAAUGGGCGAGAGCCUGA